rnacentral:rRNA from 1 species
UACGAAGGGGGCUAGCGUUGCUCGGAUUGACUGGGCGUAAAGGGCGCGUAGGCGGAUAGUACAGUCAGGCGUGAAAUUCCUGGGCUCAACCUGGGGGCUGCGUUUGAUACGUAUUGUCUGGAGUUCGGAAGAGGGUCGUGGAAUUCCCAGUGUAGAGGUGAAAUUCGUAGAUAUUGGGAAGAACACCGGUGGCGAAGGCGGCGACCUGGUCCGAUACUGACGCUGAGGCGCGAAAGCGUGGGGAGCAAACAGGAUAGAA